rnacentral:rRNA from 1 species
AGAGGAAGUAAAAGUCGUAACAAGGUUUCCGUAGGUGAACCUGCGGAAGGAUCAUUAAUGAAACUUCAAAGUCGGCCAAAGGUUGUUGCUGGUGAUUAUUCACAUGUGCACGCCUUUGGUCGCAAAUCCACACACACCUGUGCAUCUAUGACUCGAGGUUGUAAUGACUGAGAGUAACUUUUAUACACUCUUGUAUGUAAUGGAAUGUCUUUUUGUGCUAUAAUGUACAAUAUAAACAACUUUCAACAACGGAUCUCUUGGCUCUCGCAUCGAUGAAGAACGCAGCGAAAUGCGAUAAGUAAUGUGAAUUGCAGAAUUCAGUGAAUCAUCGAAUCUUUGAACGCACCUUGCACCCUUUGGUAUUCCGAAGGGUACGCCCGUUUGAGUGUCAUUGUAAUCUCACUUCUACAACUUUAUUGUUGUUUGAAUGUGGACUUGGAUGUUGCCGUUUUAUCACAGCUCGUCUUAAAUGCCUGAGUGUACCCUGUUUUGCAGCGUAUCCAGUGUAAUAAACAUUUCACUAGAGUUGGUCGAAAGACCGCGUUGACUAUAUGGGCUCUAUGCUUCAAACCGUCUGCCAUGUGGACAAUUUCUUGACAAUUUGACCUCAAAUCGGGUGGGACUACCCGCUGAACUUAAGCAUAUCAAUAAGCGGAGGAAAAGAAACUAACAAGGAUUCCCCUAGUAACGGCGAGUGAAGAGGGAAAAGCUCAAAUUUUAAAUCUGGUGUCUUUGACUCCCGAGUUGUAAUCUAGAGAAGUGUUUUCCGUGUCGGACCGUGUACAAGUUCCCUGGAACGGGGCGUCAUAGAGGGUGAGAAUCCCGUAUAUGCCACGGACUACCGAUGCUCUGUGAUACACUCUCAACGAGUCGAGUUGUUUGGGAAUGCAGCUCAAAAUGGGUGGUAAAUUCCAUCUAAAGCUAAAUAUUGGCGAGAGACCGAUAGCGAACAAGUACCGUGAGGGAAAGAUGAAAAGCACUUUGGAAAGAGAGUGAAACAGUACGUGAAAUUGUUGAAAGGGAAGCGUUUGAAGUCAGUCGCAUCUGUUGGGGUUCAGCCUGGCUUUUGCCUGGUGUAUUUCCUUUCCGAUGGGUCAGCAUCAGUUUCGACCGAGGGAAAAAGACAUUUGGAAUGUGGCUGUCUUCGGGCAGUGUUAUAGCCUUGUGUUGUAUGUCUCGGUUGGGACUGAGGAUUGCAGCGCGCCAUAAAUGGCCGGGGGUCGCUCCUCUCGACACGCGCUUAGGAUGCUGGCAUAAUGGCUUUAAGCGACCCGUCUU